GGGAGGGUAGCGAAGAGGCUAAACGCGGCUGACUGUAAAUCAGCUCCUGAGGGUUCGGCAGUUCGAAUCUGCCCCCUCCCACCA
rnacentral:tRNA from 1 species